GUUUGGAAACAGACUCAGAAGAAGAGAGGUCAUUCCAGUGGAUGGUGGAAGAUGUAAUCACUGACAAAACGGUUUUGUGUUACACAGAAUAGGGGAAGUGUUUGCUAGAAAUAUAGGUGUGCAAGUCAGCAACAAUUGAGAAAAGAUAAAAUGUGAUUUCUGAAAUCUGUGAACGAAUAAAAUGAUGAGGAGGAUUGGUGAUGCAAGAUGAGAGGACACAAAAAUGAAGUAGAAGGGAGUUGAAAGUCAAGUAAUUGUACCGCCACAGCAGUGCAGACAAAAAAGCAUGGGGAAAAAAGAAUAUUCAAUGCAAAAACAAAAGUAAAACGUGGAAUAUUGAGUAACUAAAAAUACCUGGAAAGAAUGGUAGUUAUCAGUGAUUCAUGGUAAAUAACUAUCAAUGAUCAGAUGACAAUCAGAAAAUGGCAGGAACAGAGAAUAAUGGUUAAAAACAAAGUAGGAGCUAAUUGCUGGUAUCUAAUAAUGUUAAUCAAUUGCUUAGAAAAGACAGGCAGUUGAAAAGAAAUAGGAGUUUCCUAAUUACACUGCAUAUAAAGAAAUGGUCUUUGGUAGCAAAGCAGGUGGAAAAUGGGAGUAAUAAUGAUAAGCUGAUAAAGCUUGAUUGUAUUAAACUGGAUCAGGUGAAGUGACAUAGCAGAGAGAGGAGUGACUGUGCAAAUUGAGUAAAUAGGAAGAGUAGGGUAGAUAUCUGAAUAAAUAUAGACAAAGAAUUCACUAAAGCUGUGGCUUCUAAAAAACGUUUUUCUGUAUUGCCAAAAAUGCUUCAAGUAGAGGUACUGAUCUACAAUAAAUAUAAGUCCCUACAUAUUUGAUAAUCAUUCAUUGUAAGUACCAGAAGACUAGAGAUCAGAAUAAAAAUUGUUCCUCUCUGAGGGAGGACUGGAAAGCAAAAUGCAGUCCUAAGAUCCUUAGUCUUUUUUUGUAUAUGAAAAUAUGUUCAAUAAUUGGAAUGAGCAUUACAAAAACAGUAGUGCUGACACAGGGAAAAUAAAAGCCGUUUCAGGUGCUGAAGAAAUAAAUGUGCAAGGAAUUAAAGAAGAUGAGACAAAAAUGCAAGGAAGAUGAAGAUCCAGGUAUUGUCAUGUGGAAAUUUCUGGAGCCAAUAAUGUGGAUCCUGGACUACCAUUCUCGUUAAGCACAUGCAGUGGUUCCUUUUCAGGAUGCAGAAUGCUAUACAAGUGUCUACACAGAUCAGAAAAGUUGAGUCUUACAAGACCAAAGGAACUGCAAUUUGCCACUGGGCGUACAAUGCUUUAGCCACUAAAACCCAUAAAAGUCCAGUUGAAUCGAGGCAUCUACAGCUCAGUAUGUUGUUUCCUAAUGAUAGACUUCAAGUAUCAGUAUUUAGUUGGAUUGGUUAUAUCCUAAGCAGUGAGAAUGGAAGAACGUGUUUAUCAGAAGGACAUCUCCAAAUUAUCAGAAGGACAUCUCCAAACCAUGUGAAAGAAAUAUCAGUCUGAAAAUAUACAUUCACCAACUCUAGCAACUUUUUCCCCUCUGAUUAUCAAUUAAUGCCCUAGUCAGCAAUGAACCUUAUUUUGUAUCAGACAUUGCACAUGGAAGCAAGAAAGCAAGAAAAACUGCAGCACCUUACUCCAGGGUAAGUAUCUAAAGUCACUUCCAGAAGAAUUGAAGAGCUGAAAUGAGAAAGACUGAAUGAGCAUUAGACAUCUGCAAUUCAGAUUAGCCUGAAGUUUUAAUUGCUAUGUUAUCAGAAAUAAGUGCAUUUCAUUGAGCAGUAGCUGUUCGGGAAGACUUGGAGUCAUCAAUGGUAUAUCAUAACGAUGAUGACUUCAUCUCUCCAAAGGGUAUUAGCAAGGAUUCAUUUCAACCUGUCAUUCUAAAAAUGGUGAUACAAGAGUCAACAGUACUUUUCCAGUUUUGCUAUUACUUCACAAGCUAGUUGCAAAUCAAAUGAAUCUUUUCAACAUCUUUAGAAAGAACACGUGGCCCUUCAUCCUCUAAUUGUCCUGAAAUGUCUCCCUCUAAUGUGUCCACAUGUGCCUACGUAUGUGUGAGGGAAAGGAGGAGAAUAUCAAAAUGUAGGCUAAUUUUCUUUUAAUUUUCAAAAUCUCCAAAGUUUUGAUGUGUCUGGAUUGCAUUCUUGUUUUGAUUUAUGACUGUGUAGGUGGAAGGGUGCAGCUGCUCUGAAAUUCCAGUCAUGAUUCUUACCCAAAUAUAGACUAUCUGAAGUGAAUGCUUUUUGAAUCAAGCCAAUUUUUAAUUGGUGAAUUUCAGUAACUGUUGAAAUUAACCAUCUUCAGGACAAUAAGAGACAAAUGACAUGGAGGAUCCAGGGCUGCCUUGUAGCAAGGACCAAAACGAGAUGGGAAUGCAUGAGUAUCAGUAAGUAUCCAUUAAAGAGCACUGUCCAGAGAAAAAGAGAAUUACUCUUUGAUUAAAGAAUAGGAGUAGCCUGAAGCCAGGUAGAGAUAUACAGUUGAGAUAUGACAAGACAGAGAUUCCAUCCCCUAUUUGAAGUUUUGAAACCCUACACAGGCUGAUUAAUUUCUCUGCAAGACAGUGCAUGCAAUGGGAGUGUCAGAGGCAGCUUACAUAGUAGGGAGCUUGUUGAGUUUGAGGAAAGAGAAAAGGAUUGUUUCCUGGCUCAUACUGUUCCCUUUUUAUUCCACAUGGGUCACUUUUAUUUUACAAAAUAAAUAAAUAAAGACCCCACCAUCCCCCCCAAAAAACAACCAACCAGAAACAAACAAACAAAAACAAUGAACAAGCCCUUCUUUGCUAUCUCAUCUUAUCCCACAUACUCAUAUCCAAGCGGUACAAGCAAUAAGGAAUUUCUUAUUUUCUAUUUUGAGGACUGUGCAGUUGUCUUUUCCAGGUGUCAAGAAAAAAACAUCCUUUUCAUCUGAAUUUAACAGAUCAGUUGAGCUAGUGGAUUUUUCCCUGAUUUCCUCUGAACAUAAGACAUCCAAUUAUGUGAUACAAAUGUAUGUUCUCAACCACAGAACCCACAGAGUUUGUUGUGAAAUAGUGGCAUCACUUGAUAGUUCAAUUACAGACAGGUCUUGCUUCUUCUGUUAUCUAUAAUACACAAUUAUGCCCACAGUAACCAUGGCUAAGAUAACACAAAUCUUAACUGUGACCAAGUCUCUCAUCACAAGGUGAUCAGGAGCAAUGCCAGGUGUUUAAGCCCCCACUGCUCAGUAAUCAUGGCAAGCAUAUUUCCUGAGUAAAGAUAUGGCUACCACCAGGGACCGGAUUUAACAUAAAAUGUACACAUAAGACAGCAACAACUGUUGUUUGAGCAUCCUUCCCUUAGCACACAUCCUGAAAGGUAAAGCAGAGCUCCGUGUAUGGUAAGCUGCUAGCCUGAGGGAAAGGACAGAGCUUUCCAUUUCUCAGCUAACAAACGCAGGUGACCCGAGUUUUCUAGGAUAUUGGAGACAUGGUCAUACAACUAAUCACUCACAUGAGCUUGUGGUGCUUGGAAGCCAUUGCUGCAGAGUUCAUGCUACAGCUCUGGGAAGGCAAUAAAUGUUGUAUUGGAGGGUAUUCUGGCUGCCAUAUGAGCCAUCACUUACAGUUCAUAAAGCUAUGCAGUAAUUCAAAUGAUUUACAGGGGACAGGGGUAUAACUGCCAAUCUUCUAAAGUUGUUUGAAGCUGAUUACUAGGGAAUUCCUGCAGUUUCAAUAGCAACUGCUGUGUGAUGUCUAUAGCUGGACAUUUCAAAAUAUUUUCAUUGUGAGUUGCAAGUCCCUUAGGUCUAGUAAUAAAUUUUUAUGAGGAUUAAAUUACAUAGGGAUCUAACAGUUAUGUCUGUUGUUUACUCUUGAAAUUGAGAAGUAAAAGAAAAAUGAAAAUAACGUGGUUGCUCACCUUUGAUUUUAAUAAUUAUAAUAAGAGUUCCCCUGUGUAGCUUGGAUGUCUUGGAGUAUUUUGGGUCAAACUAGUACUUGUAAAGUGAAAAUGGCAGUAAAAAGUAUUGCAGAUAAGAACAUCAUAGAAGUCUAUAUUAAGUGACUCUUUAAUCUCUCAAAAUAUUUUUGAUCAUCAAAUGAGGAUGCUUAAAGAAUAUGGGAGUUCAGUAAUACACCAAGCAAAUGAAAAUUAAAACUAAACAAGGAAAUUCUCUUAGAUAAUUUCUGUCACUAAGAUGUUCUUUUUUUUUUUUUUUAUUGGUAGUUACCUUGUAUGUUAAGA
ensembl:lncRNA